GGGAAUCUUCCACAAUGGGCGAAAGCCUGAUGGAGCAACGCCGCGUGGGUGAAGAAGGCCUUCGGGUUGUAAAAUUCUGUUAUAAGGGAAGAAAGGUGAUAGGAGGAAAUGACUAUCAAUUGACGGUACUUGAGGAGGAAGCCCCGGCUAACUACGUGCCAGCAGCCGCGGUAAUACGUAGGGGGCUAGCGUUAUCCGGAAUUACUGGGCGUAAAGGGUGCGUAGGUGGUUUCUUAAGUCAGAGGUGAAAGGCUACGGCUCAACCGUAGUAAGCCUUUGAAACUGGGAAACUUGAGUGCAGGAGAGGAGAGUGGAAUUCCUAGUGUAGCGGUGAAAUGCGUAGAUAUUAGGAGGAACACCAGUUGCGAAGGCGGCUCUCUGGACUGUAACUGACACUGAGGCACGAAAGCGUGGGGAGCA
rnacentral:rRNA from 1 species